rnacentral:rRNA from 1 species
UCUUUGGAAUUUUUUGGUGUUAUCCGGAUUUAUUGGGUUUAAAGGGAGCGUAGGCCGGAGAUUAAGCGUGUUGUGAAAUGUAGACGCUCAACGUCUGCACUGCAGCGCGAACUGGUUUCCUUGAGUACGCACAAAGUGGGCGGAAUUCGUGGUGUAGCGGUGAAAUGCUUAGAUAUCACGAAGAACUCCGAUUGCGAAGGCAGCUCACUGGAGCGCAACUGACGCUGAAGCUCGAAAGUGCGGGUAUCGAACAGG